GGAAAACAUUUGAUCUGCUGCUUUACACUCAUAAAUGUUGAAAUGGCGCAAAUCUGGCUCCAACCAUGAAAGCAGAUGCCAUGACCCUGGAAGGAACAGAUCCACAAACCAUGAGACCCCCUCUGUCUGACUUCCCCUGGCCUCUGGUGAAUGGACCAAGGAUCCAUGGUCAACCCAAAGAUUCUUCUCUGGGCUCAUUUCAUGUCCUUCCACCAACCUGGAGUUUUUCUUCUAAAUCUGCUACAUCCCAUGGAUCCCAUAAAGCAUUUGGAGAAGUUGCCUACAUUUUUUUUUUCUGACUAUGAAUCCAUAUGGCUUAACAUCAGACCAGAUGAUAAACUGAAGACAGUUCUGCUAGAACUCCUAACCUGUUGUAAACAUAUACUGAUCUUAGCCCUCUGUAGUGAA